rnacentral:rRNA from 2 species
GUGGCAUGCGGCAUGCUAUACAUGCAGUCGAGCGGACAGAUGGGAGCUUGCUCCCUGAUGUUAGCGGCGGACGGGUGAGUAACACGUGGGUAACCUGCCUGUAAGACUGGGAUAACUCCGGGAAACCGGGGCUAAUACCGGAUACUUGUUUGAACCGCAUGGUUCAAACAUAAAAGGUGGCUUCGGCUACCACUUACAGAUGGACCCGCGGCGCAUUAGCUAGUUGGUGAGGUAAUGGCUCACCAAGGCAACGAUGCGUAGCCGACCUGAGAGGGUGAUCGGCCACACUGGGACUGAGACACGGCCCAGACUCCUACGGGAGGCAGCAGUAGGGAAUCUUCCGCAAUGGACGAAAGUCUGACGGAGCAACGCCGCGUGAGUGAUGAAGGUUUUCGGAUCGUAAAGCUCUGUUGUUAGGGAAGAACAAGUGCCGUUCAAAUAGGGCGGCACCUUGACGGUACCUAACCAGAAAGCCACGGCUAACUACGUGCCAGCAGCCGCGGUAAUACGUAGGUGGCAAGCGUUGUCCGGAAUUAUUGGGCGUAAAGGGCUCGCAGGCGGUUUCUUAAGUCUGAUGUGAAAGCCCCCGGCUCAACCGGGGAGGGUCAUUGGAAACUGGGGAACUUGAGUGCAGAAGAGGAGAGUGGAAUUCCACGUGUAGCGGUGAAAUGCGUAGAGAUGUGGAGGAACACCAGUGGCGAAGGCGACUCUCUGGUCUGUAACUGACGCUGAGGAGCGAAAGCGUGGGGAGCGAACAGGAUUAGAUACCCUGGUAGUCCACGCCGUAAACGAUGAGUGCUAAGUGUUAGGGGGUUUCCGCCCCUUAGUGCUGCAGCUAACGCAUUAAGCACUCCGCCUGGGGAGUACGGUCGCAAGACUGAAACUCAAAGGAAUUGACGGGGGCCCGCACAAGCGGUGGAGCAUGUGGUUUAAUUCGAAGCAACGCGAAGAACCUUACCAGGUCUUGACAUCCUCUGACACCCCUAGAGAUAGGGCUUCCCCUUCGGGGCAGAGUGACAGUGUGCAUGGUGUCGUCAGCUCGUGUCGUGAGAUGUUGGGUAGUCCCGCACGAGCGCACCCUGAUCUAGUGCCAGCAUUCAGUGGGCACUCUAGUGACUGCCGGUGACAACCGGAGGAAGGUGGGGAUGACGUCAAUC